GCCACUUUGGCUUAGUGGCAGAGCGUCGCUCUCGUAAAGCGAAGGUCGCAGGUUCGAUUCCUGCAAGUGGCA
rfam:Pristionchus pacificus strain PS312 contig11865, whole genome shotgun sequence.